rfam:Mus musculus chromosome 3, GRC primary reference assembly.
UGACGGUUGGUUUGGCUGAUCUGGAAGCUGGACAAAUGUUCUCUUCCUCCCUCUACAUUCUGUACACGUCCCUCUUGAAGCUGGACACUCAGAAGAGGACUAAUUGCCCCAAACACAGCAGGGCCAGCAUCCAGUCAAGGGCACACAAAUGGCUGCUCUCUCCUGUUAGAACCUCCGAACGGUUCUCAAAGAGGGGCGGGCACAAAGUCUAUCUGAAUUACACUAAGUACUGAUCAUGUUGACCCAUUCGUUUUGUUGAAAUGUUGGGUAGUCCAU